rnacentral:tRNA from 1 species
GGGCCCUUAGCUCAGAAGUGCAGAGCGCCUCGCUCAUAACGGGGUGGUCCUGGGUUCGAGUCCCAGAGGGCCCACCA